rnacentral:rRNA from 1 species
GACGAACGCUGGCGGCGUGCUUAACACAUGCAAGUCGAACGGAAAGGGCCUUCGGGGUACUCGAGUGGCGAACGGGUGAGUAACACGUGGGUGAUCUGCCCUGCACUUUGGGAUAAGCAUGGGAAACUGGGGCUAAUACCGAAUAAGACCACGCGCUUCAUGGUGUGUGGUUGAAAGCUUUUGCGGUGUGGGAUGGGCCCGCGGCCCAUCAGCUUGUUGGUGUGGUAAUGGCGUACCAAGGCGACGACGGGUAGCCGGCCUGAGAGGGUGACCGGGCACACUGGGACUGAGAGACGGCCCAGACGCCUACGGGAGGCAGCAGUGGGAAAUAUUGUACAAUGGGCGCGAGCCUGAUGCAGCGACGCCGCGUGAGGGAUGACGGCCUUCGGGUUGUAAACCUCUUUCAGUAGGGGCGAAGCUCAAGUGACGUUACCUAUAGAAGAAGCACCGGCCAACUACGUG